AUGAAGUUCAUUGUGAAGAUUUCAGGGGAGUUGAUCGUUGGUAUAGCAUUGAAGAAGAUGAUUGUUGUUAAGGCAUUUAUUAUAAUGAUAUUUAUAUAUUCAGCUAUGAAAAAUAGGGCGAAUGGGCCAGCGGCGUAUUCUACGUUGAACCCUGAGACUAGUUCUGAUUCACCCUCUGUUAGAUCAAAUGGUGCUCGGUUUGUUUCUGCCAGGGUGGAAACAAAUCAUAUUAUUGCCAAUGGCCAUGUGGAAAGAAGGAGUCAGGUGUUUUUUUGUGUUUCUAUUAAACCUACUAAGGAGAAUGAGCCAUUCAGUAGUAAUACAGAUAGGAACUUUAUUGCUAGGUUUAAUCAUGGAGUUUUUAUUGUUAUAUUGAUGAGCAAGUAAUGAUCAGAUUGAAAUCCUAGUUGAUUGCUAUAAUAUAGGAGAGUGGAUCAUUUAUGAUGAUGAAAGUGCAGUAGGUUUUCUUAGUGAAGAUCCUGCAGGAGUGGCAGCCAUUUAUAGUUACAAUUGUUGAUUAAUAUUUGUAGCUGGCUGAUCUAUGUUUGUUGGUAUUUUUAUUGCUAUUGAAAUUACUCGUGGAAAUUAGAUUACUAUAAAGAUAGCCAGAGUAAUAGAAAUUAAGAACGAUAGGAAAUAUAGUUUUACUAAUCCUGUUUGAGUUGAUGAACUGAUAGCUGCGGAAACUUGUAUGCUUGAGAUGCCCUUUGGAGCUACUUUUUCUAAUCAAAUUAAGUCUAGUAAGACCGAUGAUAAGUUCUGGCUCAUUAAAAGAUUUUUAUAAGGAACUGAUCGGUGCAUAAUAACUGAAUGGUAGCCUAAUAUAUUAGAGAAGUUGAAGGUCUUUGUUGAAUAAUUUAGUUUUAAAUUAUAGGCUAUAGAGGCUAGUUCUAUUGCGAUUGUAAGUCCAAUAAUUGUAACUAGAAGGGCUGAGGUUUUUAGGUAGGUUGGUAUGGUCAUUUGGUAUAUAGUUGUGGGUGGAAUACUGUUUGAGAUGAAAAACCCUGCAAAAAUGCUUCCUGCUGCCAGGCGGCUAAUUGAGUUGAUUAAUAUAGGGUUGUUUUCGUUGAUUGAGGCGGAUGAGUGAAAUCGGGGGGUUUCAAUUAUAGUGAAGAAUAAGAUUCGAACGCUAUAGGCUGCUGUUAAUGAUGUGGCAAUUAAGGUUAGGGUUAGUGCUCAUGCGUUGGUGUAGGAUGUAGUGGCGGCUUCAAUAAUCAGGUCUUUAGAAUAAAAUCCUGUUAGAAAAGGUAUUCCUGUUAGGGCAAGGCUUCCAAUAGUUAGGCAGGAUGAAGUUAUUGGCAUAACUUUAAAUAGACCUCCUAUCUUUCGGAUGUCUUGUUCAUCAUUUAGACUAUGGAUAAUUGAGCCUGAACAUAUAAAGAGCAUUGCUUUGAAGAAGGCGUGGGUGCAAAUGUGUAGGAAGGCUAAAUGUGGUUGGUUAAUUCCGAUUGUUACUAUUAUUAAUCCCAGUUGACUAGAGGUGGAGAAUGCUACGAUUUUUUUGAUGUCAUUUUGUGUGAUUGCGCAAAUUGCAGCAAAUAGUGUAGUAAUGGCCCCCGUGCAUAGAAUGCAUGUUUGAAAUAAGUAGUUGUCUUGUAUUAGGGGGGAGAAGCGGAUUAGUAGGAAAACUCCGGCUACCACUAUUGUGCUUGAGUGGAGUAGGGCUGAUACUGGUGUUGGGCCUUCUAUUGCGGAUGGGAGUCACGGGUGAAGUCCAAAUUGGGCAGAUUUUCCGGUGGCUGCUAAUAAUAAUCCUAGAAGAGGAAGUAAAGAGAUUUUAUUUUGUAUUGAGAAGAGUUGCUGUAAAUCCCAUGAGUUAAAAUAUAUGGUGAACCAUGCUAUUGAUAGUACAAAUCCAAUGUCUCCGAUUCGAUUGUAUAGAAUUGCUUGGAGUGCUGCUGUAUUUGCAUCUGCUCGUCCAUACCAUCACCCAAUUAAAAGGAAUGAUAUGAUUCCAACUCCUUCCCAGCCGAUGAAAAGUUGAAAUAUAUUGUUAGCUGUAACUAGAACUAUUAUAGUAAUUAAGAAUAGCAGGAGGUAUUUGAAGAAUUUGUCAAUGUUGGGGUCUGAAUAUAUAUACCACAAGGAGAAUUCCAUAAUGGACCAUGUUACGAAUAAGGCUACGGAUAUAAAUAGGAUAGAGAAAUAGUCUAGUUUAAAACUUAUGCACAGGUUUAAGGACUGAAUAGUUAGUCAAUUUCAGGUUGUUACUACUGCCUCGUGGUUGAGUUGAGGUAAGAAAGAGUGGGGAUUAGGCUAAGUAGGAAGGAUAAUGAGGUAAGAGACUUAACAUAUAUGGGAAAUGGAAGUUUGUUGUGGAUGUUAGUUAUAGAGGUUAAAAUAGGUAAUAAGAGGGUAGAUAGUGUUAGAACGAAAAAUGUAAUAGAUAUAUUAAUUACUUUUAUUUGGAGUUGCACCAAUUUUUUGGUUCCUAAGACCAAUGGAUUACUUCUAUCCUAUAAAAGUUAAGGAAGCCAUAUUUUUAAAUAUGGAGGGAGGAAUUAGCAGUUCCAGUUGUCUUCCUCUUGGGUAAAUAAGAAGGGUUAAUCUUCUAUUGUUAGAUUCACAAUCUAAUGUUUUUGUUAAACUAUAAUUACAGUAUAUGUUACCUAGGAUGAUUUUUGGGUUUAAGCUGAGGAGGAUUAGCGGGAUGAUAUGUAGAACUAUUAGGGAGUUUUCUCGGGUAAAUGAUGGGGUUAUAUCGGUGAUGUGGUAUGGUAGCUUUCCUCGUUGUGUUGUAAUAAAUAUGUAUAGUGUGUAUAGAGCUGUAAUAAGCAUAUUUAAGCCGGUGAGGAUAAUGGUUAGAUUUGACCAAGAGAAUGUUGAUAAAAUAAUAUAUAGUUCUCCUACCAGGUUGAUUGUUGGCGGUAAGGCUAAGUUAGUUAAGCUUGAUAGUAGUCAUCAGACUAUUAUUAAUGGAAGGACUGUUUGAAGGCCUCGAGCUAAAAUUAUAGUACGGCUGUGAAUUCGUUCGUAAUUGGAAUUUGCUAGACAGAACAGGAGGGAGGAUGUCAGGCCGUGGGCGAUUAUUAGGGCAGUUGCCCCUAUGAAGCUUAACGGAGUUUGAAUUAUAAUUGCUACGAUUACUAGCGCCAUGUGACUAAUGGAUGAAUAUGCAAUGAGAGAUUUUAGAUCUGUUUGGCGUAAACAGAUUGAACUAGUUAUAAUUAUAUCACUGUGGUAUGAUGCUUUUCAGUUCUUCUGGGAAUAUGCCUAGAAGUGGAAUAGCUGGAAUAAAUGGGA
ensembl:lincRNA